rnacentral:lncRNA from 1 species
GUGAGUCCUCAGUCUUGGGCUAUUCGGCCACGUGCCUGCCGGACAUGGGACGCUGGAGGGUCAGCAGCGUGGAGUCCUGGCCUUUUGCGUCCACGGGUGGGAAAUUGGCCAUUGCCACGGCGGGAACUGGGACUCAGGCUGCCCCCCGGCCGUUUCUCAUCCGUCCACCGGACUCGUGGGCGCUCGCACUGGCGCUGAUGUAGUUUCCUGACCUCUGACCCGUAUUGUCUCCAGAUUAAAGGUACGACAUUUGGAGGCCCCAGCGAGAAACGUCACCGGGAGAAACGUCACCGGGCGAGAGCCGGGCCCGCUGUGUGCUCCCCCGGAAGGACAGCCAGCUUGUAGGGGGGAGUGCCACCUGAAAAAAAAAUUUCCAGGUCCCCAAAGGGUGACCGUCUUCCGGAGGACAGCGGAUCGACUACCAUGUGGGUGCCCACAAAAAUUCCACCUCUGAGUCCUCAACUGCUGACCCCGGGGUCAGGUCCAGAUUUUGAACAAAUCUCGCUAGAGAUUGAACAGAGCUGCGCCUGGAUCCCGCCACAGUGAGGAGACCUGAAGACCAGAGAAAACACAGCAAGCCCCUGGAUCCUCCUGGAAUCCCCGAUCCCUCUUGCUCCCUGGCAGAGUUUUCUAGUCCCUCUUACUUGAAGCAUGUCUUUCAGAGCCCGGCACCACCCAUCUUGAGUAUCUGGUGAGUUCUGUGGUCUGCAUGUCCAUGUUUGGGACAUUCUGGGAAGGGUGGCCCAGGCUGUGAUUUGCCAUCUACUGCAGGCUAUGGAUGGUAUUCAGAAGGGAGGGGAGAUGCUGUGUGCGUGUUCUGAAGGGUUUCCCACUAAACAGAUCAACCCUCUCCAUAACUAUUUGAUUUUUACUUUAUCUCCUCGUUGACUUCACAGUGUCAGUGCAGUUUGUGUAAACAUCUCUAUGGGGUGAUGCAUGCAGAUAAAUGUUUAUGUGAACAUAUAAAGUCUGCAUGUGUGGGUGAACACUCCACAUCAGGUCAUUGUCCAUCAUUACAUAUCUGUGGUGUCUGGCUCAUUCGUCUCGUUUUCUGUCAUUUUACCUACUUUUACCUGAAGUACAAUGACUAUUUAAUAACUAUUAAAUGUUUCAUUUCAGCUACACCUCUAUGGUAUUUUUUUCACCUCAUAUCAUACCUUCCUCCCUCACUGGACUUCAGUGUGGGACCUGCAGGUCUCAGGCCUUCUGGGAAGUCCCAGCUUUUCUUGAAUGUUUUCUCUCUCUGGCCAGCUCAGGCUGGAGCAGUGGGUGUUGGUGCCAUCCUGUGGCUAUAGGUGAUAAGCCGGCUGUUCUUCACUGACCUGGUCUUACCUUGAACCCUGGAGUUCUCACAUGCAUGGAUUUAAAUGCUGUGUCUUUCUAAGGGCACAUUAUGGCCAUUUUCCUUAUCUCCCUCCCAAGGGGCUGUUUGCUGUGUUUAUUGACUCCCUGUUUAAAAAACAUAUAUAUAUAUAUAUAUAUAGACGAAUUAGGUUGUACCCCAUAAAUUGCAUGUUUGAAAAAUAUUUCAAAGAAUAGUUUAUUUUUUUUUGCUGAUUUUUAUGUAUCUUCUAAAUUGUAUAUAUUUAUGGGGUAUAAAAUGAUGUUGUGAUUUUUCAAUACAGUGUGGAAUGAGAAUCAAAUUAACCUAUCCGUUACCUCAAGUACUUGACUUUUUUUGUGAUGAGAAGGCUGUUUAUCACUUUCACUCACCAGCUCCUGCUGUCUUCCAUGCUGGGGACAGGAAAGGCUCCACGCUUGACUUUCCCUCCUGUUUUCUUAUCUGCUGUCAACCCCUGAAUGUACCCUCCAGGAUUGCCUUCUAGACCUUCUACAUCUAGCUCGAUCAUUGUGCACCCACCUUCCUCCCAGGGACUGUCCUUAGGGAGUGACUUUAUGCACAAACUUCACAUGCUCUUCCUGCCUCCUUCAUCCCCAUAAGCCCCCAUCUCAGCCCCAUCUGAUUAUUUCUUCCCUGUCUCAUUUCCUGUUAUGCUGUUGGUUUUCUAACCUGAAGGGUAACUUCUUACUCCUUAGUUUUUUGCCUUAAUUUCUAAGUCAUAGGCUACUUUCAGGCUAAAAGUUUUCCUCCAGCCAUGGUUUUAGUCUCAUUCUAUAAGUCUUGCUAGGUAGUUUAUUCAUUGGAAAUUUUUUGUUUUUGAGACAGAGUCUCGCUCUGUCACCCAGGCUGUAGUACAGUGGUGCCAUCUCAGCUCACUGCAACCUCCGGUUCCCGGGCUCAAGCAGUUCUCUUUCCUCAGCCUCCUGAGUAGCUGGGAUUAUGGGUGCCUGCCACCACACCCAGCUAAUUUUUGUAUUUUUAGUAGAGACGGCAUUUCACCAUGUCAGCCAGGUUGGUCUCGAACUCUUGACCUCAAGUGAUCCGCCCACCUUGGCCUCCCAAAAUACUGGGAUUACAGGGGUGAGUCACCACACCCCACCCCUUGGCACUAUAUUUAAGUGAUGAUAUUUUUGGACACUGAGGUAGCCUCAUUCCACAGGUUUAGAUCUGAAGCAUUUUCACUAUUGCUUCUUUCCAUGUAUUUCCUGGUUUGCAGGUCAGUUUCUUCUUUUAAUUCAUCAUUGACACAGUGGUUUAUAUGGCUUUUAAUUUCAAAAGAUUUUUUAAAAUAUCUUUUUGCCGAUUUUUAUCUAUGUUAAUUUUAACUAGACAUGUUCCCUGGAAGGACAUCACUAGUUUUUUUU